rnacentral:rRNA from 1 species
AUUGAACGCUGGCGGCAGGCCUAACACAUGCAAGUCGAGCGGAUGAAGGGAGCUUGCUCCUGGAUUCAGCGGCGGACGGGUGAGUAAUGCCUAGGAAUCUGCCUGGUAGUGGGGGAUAACGUCCGGAAACGGGCGCUAAUACCGCAUACGUCCUGAGGGAGAAAGUGGGGGAUCUUCGGACCUCACGCUAUCAGAUGAGCCUAGGUCGGAUUAGCUAGUUGGUGGGGUAAAGGCCUACCAAGGCGACGAUCCGUAACUGGUCUGAGAGGAUGAUCAGUCACACUGGAACUGAGACACGGUCCAGACUCCUACGGGAGGCAGCAGUGGGGAAUAUUGGACAAUGGGCGAAAGCCUGAUCCAGCCAUGCCGCGUGUGUGAAGAAGGUCUUCGGAUUGUAAAGCACUUUAAGUUGGGAGGGAGGGCAGUAAGUUAAUACCUUGCUGUUUUAACGUUACCAACAGAAUAAGCACCGGCUAACUUCGUG